rnacentral:rRNA from 1 species
ACCUUAAUGACCGGGAUAACACCGGGAAACUGGUGCUAAUACCGGAUACGCUUGCGAGGACACAUGUUUUUGCAAGGAAAGGAGCAAUCCGCAUUAAGAUGGGUCCGCGUCCCAUUAGCUAGUUGGAGGUGUAAAGGACCCCCAAGGCGACGAUGGGUAGCCGGCCUGAGAGGGUGGACGGCCACACUGGAACUGAGACACGGUCCAGACUCCUACGGGAGGCAGCAGUGGGGAACCUUCCGCAAUGGGCGAAAGCCUGACGGAGCAACGCCGCGUGAAUGAAGAANGCCUUCGGGUUGUAAAAUUCUGUCUUCAGGGAAGAAGAAAGUGACGGUACCUGAGGAGGAAGCCCCGGCUAACUACGUGCCAGCAGCCGCGGUAAAACGUAGGGGGCGAGCGUUGUCCGGAAUUACUGGGCGUAAAGGGCGCGUAGGCGGUUUCUUAAGUCUCGAGGUGAAAACUAUCGGCUUAACCGGUAGCCUGCCUGAGAAACUGGGGGACUUGAGGGCAGGAGAGGGGAGUGGAAUUCCCAGUGUAGCGGUGGAAUGCGUAGAUAUUGGGAGGAACGCCGGUGGCGAAGGCGGCUCGCUGGCCUGUUACUGACGCUGAGGCGCGAAAGCGUGGGGAGCGAACGGGAUUAGAUACCCCGGUAGUCCACGCCGUAAACGAUGGGUGCUAGGUGUAGGAGGUAUCGACCCCUUCUGUGCCGUAGUUAACACAAUAAGCACCCCGCCUGGGGAGUACGGCCGCAAGGUUGAAACUCAAAGGAAUUGACGGGGGCCCGCACAAGCGGUGGAGCAUGUGGUUUAAUUCGACGCAACGCGAANAACCUUACCAGGGUUUGACAUCCCCUGACAGCGCAUGAAAGUGCGUUUUCCAGCUUCGGUUGGACAGGGAGACAGGUGGUGCAUGGUUGUCGUCAGCUCGUGUUGUGAGAUGUUGGGUUAAGUCCCGCAACGAGCGCAACCCCUACGUUUAGUUGCUAACAGGUGAAGCUGAGCACUCUAGAGGAACUGCUGU